ACGGCUCAGUAACACGUGGAUAACCUGCCCAAGGGUCUGGGAUAACCCCGGGAAACUGGGGAUAAUACCGGAUAGAUCACCUAUGCUGGAAGGGCUUGGUGGUUUAAAGGUAACGCCUUUGGAUGGGUCUGCGGCGGAUUAGGUUGACGCCGGUGUAAUGUACCGGCGUGCCUGUAAUCCGUACGGGUUGUGGGAGCAAGAGCCCGGAGAUGGAUUCUGAGACACGAAUCCAGGCCCUACGGGGCGCAGCAGGCGCGAAAACUCUACAAUGCAGGAGACUGCGAUAGGGGGACAUCGAGUGGCAUCCACCUUGGGUGCCUGUCCAACCGUCUAAAAAACGGUGGUUAGCAAGGGCCGGGUAAGACCGGUGCCAGCCGCCGCGGUAAUACCGGCGGCUCGAGUGGUGGCCGAUAUUAUUGAGUCUAAAGGGUCCGUAGCCGGCUUUGCAAGUCCCCUGGGAAAUCCAGCGGCUUAACCGUUGGGCUUUCAUGGGAUACUACAUUGCUUGGGACUGGGAGAGGUAGGAGGUACUCGGGGGGUAGGGGUGAAAUCCUGUAAUCCCCCGGGGACCACCGGUGGCGAAGGCGUCCUACCAGAACAGGUCCGACGGUGAGGGACGAAAGCUAGGGGCACGAACCGGAUUAGAUACCCGGGUAGUCCUAGCCGUAAACGAUGCCCGCUAGGUGUCACGGCGGUCGUGAAUCGCCGUGGUGCCGUAGGGAAGCCGCGAAGCGGGCCACUUGGGAAGUACGGCCGCAAGGUUGAAACUUAAAGGAAUUGGCGGGGGAGCAC
rnacentral:rRNA from 1 species